rnacentral:rRNA from 1 species
CCUACGGGAGACAGCAGUGGGGGAUAUUGCACAAUGGGGGGAACCCUGAUGCAGCGACGCCGCGUGGGUGAAGGAGUGCUUCGGCAUGUAAAGCCCUAUCGGCAGGGAAGAAGCAAGACGGUACCUGACUACGACGCCCCGGCUAACUACGUGCCAGCAGCCGCGGUAAUACGGAGGGGGCGAGCGUUAUCCGGAUUCACUGGGUGUAAAGGGAGCGUAGACGGCCAUGCAAGCCAGGGGUGAAAGCCCGGGGCCCAACCCCGGGACUGCCCUUGGAACUGAAUGGCUGGAGGGCGGGAGGGGCAGGCGGAAUUCCUGGUGUAGCGGUGAAAUGCGUAGAUAUCAGGAGGAACACCGGCGGCGAAGGCGGCCUGCUGGACCGCGACUGACGUUGAGGCUCGAAAGCGUGGGGAGCGAACAGGAUUAGAUACCCCAGUAGUC